GUGAGAGGGGGCUUGCCCCCGAUGGCAGUAUGUCAGCCGAUACAUUUCCAGCUGACAGACCGCUAUCGGGGGCAAGCCCCCUCCCAC
rnacentral:misc_RNA from 1 species